UGCGCAGGCGGACCUAUCAGUCAGGGGUGAAAUCUCUCGGCUCAACCGGGAAACUGCCAUUGAUACUGUAGGUCUUGAGUUUGGUUGAAGUGGGCGGAAUGUAGCAUGUAGCGGUGAAAUGCAUAGAUAUGCUACAGAACACCGAUCGCGAAGGCAGCUCACUAAACCAAAACUGACGCUCAGGCACGAAAGCGUGGGUAGCGAACAGGAUUAGAUACCCUGGUAGUCC
rnacentral:rRNA from 1 species